GCGACCAGUCAGACUGCGUUCGCCGGGUCGCGUGGUAUCGUCGUCGCGUUCCGGAGACGAUCGCUCAUCGACGACGACUACGUACGUCGACGUCGACGUAGUUUAACGGUUAUCAAUUUUUUUGAAUUUUUCGUCAAAACAAUAAUAUUAUUAAUAUUAUUAUGUUGGUGUUACCCGUAUUAUGUGUGAGUCCCGAACCCCGUCGUCUUGAUUUUUAAAUUUAACUGUACGAAUUCGUGAAUUGUUGCGUGCGUGAAUUUGCGUCCGAGAAUAAAACUAAUUCGUUUAGUUGUAGUGUAGUUGUUUAAAAAAAAAAAUUGUAUUAGUUUCAAGUGUACUUUACAUGUGCUAGUGUGUGUGGUGAAUCGUUUUCUCCAACGGAAUUAUGACGGAUUCGAAUACGGUGAUCGAAGGCACCGUCAAAUUUCGUGAUGGAAAAAAGUGGAAGUCAAGAUGGUGCGUUAUGCGAAAGCUGUCUCCAGUUGCAGGUAAUGUUGAAAAAUCAUGAACAGUCGUAGUAAUCUUACCGCGAUCGAAGAAACUAAAAUGUUGACCCAUACAUUUUUCAUAAUUUUCAUUCCGUAUCUAUCGAACAUAAAUCACUUGUUUUUAAUGGUCCGAUCACUUAAGCGCUACUCACUCUUCUCACUGUCGAUAUGAUAUACGAUGUAAAAUGCAAGUUCCCAAAAUAUUAUCCAUCACAAAAUCAUGAAGUUAUAUAUGUUUGUAAUUUGACCGCGUGUCCCAUCGAAAAAUAAUGCAUCAAUUGGAAAAAAAUGGAGUAAGUAAAAAUCAUAAGAAACUUCGAACUUCUAAGUUCAACACAUCCGUAGUUUAGACAACAAAUUAGUGUUGUCGGCUUAUUUUAUUUUCUUGAACAAUGACGUAUUAUUAUGAUUCAUACAUCACAAAAAAUAUUAAAUUAUAGUUGUUA